GAUGAACGCUGACAGAAUGCUUAACACAUGCAAGUCUACUUGAAGCUAACUUCGGUUAGUGGAGGGUGGCGGACGGGUGAGUAACGCGUAAAGAACUUGCCUCACAGUUUGGGACAACAUUUGGAAACGAAUGCUAAUACUAAAUAUUAUGAUACUUCUGCAUGGAAGAAUCAUGAAAGCUAUAUGCGCUGUGAGAGAGCUUUGCGUCCCAUUAGCUAGUUGGAGAGGUAACGGCUCACCAAGGCGAUGAUGGGUAGCCGGCCUGAGAGGGUGAACGGCCACAAGGGGACUGAGACACGGCCCUUACUCCUACGGGAGGCAGCAGUGGGGAAUAUUGGACAAUGGACCAAAAGUCUGAUCCAGCAAUUCUGUGUGCACGAUGAAGUUUUUCGGAAUGUAAAGUGCUUUCAGUUGGGAAGAAGCAAGUGACGGUACCAACAGAAGAAGCGACGGCUAAAUACGUGCCAGCAGCCGCGGUAAUACGUAUGUCGCAAGCGUUAUCCGGAUUUAUUGGGCGUAAAGCGCGUCUAGGUGGUUAUAUAAGUCUGAUGUGAGAAUGCGGGGCUCAACUCCGUAUUGCGUUGGAAACUGUAUGACUAGAGUACUGGAGAGGUAAGCGGAACUACAAGUGUAGAGGUGAAAUUCGUAGAUAUUUGUAGGAAUGCCGAUGGGGAAGCCAGCUUACUGGACAGAUACUGACGCUAAAGCGCGAAAGCGUGGGUAGCAAACAGG
rnacentral:rRNA from 1 species